rnacentral:snoRNA from 1 species
GUCGAGACUAGAGUCACAUCUUCACAUGUUUGAUUGUCUUGGUGUGCUGUAGUUCUCGGACAGAAACAUCUGGUCCUUAUUCACUGGCUGUGAUGUUUUGUAUCUCAGCCAGCCACCGAAUCAGUGACAUGA